AGAGUUUGAUUCUGGCUCAGAUUGAACGCUGGCGGGAUGCUUUACACAUGCAGUCGAACGGCAGCACGGACUUCGGUGUGGUAGUGAACGAACAGGUGAGUAAUGUAUCGGAACGAUGCCCUGUGGGACAAGGCGUGACGCGAAAGCGUAGCCUAAUGUUGAUACGGUGAUGAGGAAAGCAGGGACAUUCGGGCCUCGCACUAUUAGAGCAGCCGAUAUCGGAUUAGCUGGUUGAUGAGUGUUUGAACUCCGCAAGGGUGACGAUCCGUAGCUGGUUUGAGAGGACGACCAACCACACUGGGACUGAGACACGGCCCAGACUCCUGGAGGCAGCAGUGAAAUUUUGGACAAUGGGGAAACCCUGAUCCAGCCAUCCCGCGUGAAGGCGAUGAAGGCCUUCGGGUUGUAAAGCACUUUUGGCAGGAAAGAAACGGCACCGGAUAGAUACCCCGUGCAACUGACCAGCCUGCAGAAUAGCACCAGUAACUACGUGCCAGCAGCCGCGGUAAUACGUGAGGUGCAAGCGUUAAUCGGAAUUACUGGGCGUAAAAGCGUGCGCAGGCGGUUCGGAAAGAAAGAUGUGAAAUCCCGAGCUUAACUUUGGAACUGCAUUUUAACUACCGAGCUAGAGUGUGUCAGAGGGAGGUGGAAUUCCGCGUGUAGCAGUGAAAUGCGUAGAUAUGCGGAGGAACACCGAUGGCGAAACGAUAUUUCUGGAUAUUUUCAAUAGCUCAUGCACGAAAGCGUGGGGAGCAAACAGGAUUAGAUACCCUGGUAGUCCACGCCCCUAAACGAUGUCAACUGGCUGUUGAGGCCUUCGGGCCUUGUUGCAGCGCAACUAACGCGUGAAGUUGACCGCCUGCAGGAUGAUACGGUCGCAAGAUUAAAACUCAAAGGAAUUGACGGGGACCCGCACAAGCGGUGGAUGAUGUGGAUUAAUUCGAUGCAACGCGAAAAACCUUACCUGCCCUUGACAGUACCUAUGGAAUCUUGAAGAGAUUUGGGAGUGCUCGCAAGAGAACCCGGAACACAGGUGCUGCAUGGCUGUCGUCAGCUCGUGUCGUGAGAUGUUAAGUUAGAAUCCCGCUGACGGCAUGGCGAAAGUCUCAUUAUGGAUUGCUACGAAAGGACACUCUAAUGGGACUGCCGGUGACAAACCGGAGGAAGGUGGGGAUGACGUCAAGUCCUCGGUGGACCUUAUGGUGGGGACUACACGUCGUAAAGCUGGAAGGUAUGGUCGGGACACGGGGUUGCGUGAACUACCGCGAGGGGGAGCCAAUCCCAGAAACCGGAAUAUGAUCCGAAUCGCAGUCUGCAACUCGACUGCGUGGAAGUCGGAAUCGCUGGUAAUCGCGGAUCGACGAUCGCGGUGAAUACGUUCAGUUCUUGUAGUGUUCCGUCACCAUGGGAGUGGGUUUUACCGGAUAGUUGCCCAGCCUAACGUAAGGAGGGCGAUUACCACAGUAGGAUUCAUGACUGGGGUGAAGUCAUGGCUAAGGUAACUCUGUUACUGAUGCU
rnacentral:rRNA from 1 species